rnacentral:lncRNA from 1 species
GAUCAAGAUCACAAAACAACAGUUUGGUGUCAGUGGCAAAGAAGUAGUGCUGCUCAAUUAGAAAUGUUGUUGGUUUGGAGCCAAGAAAUCAAUCUUAGAUGGAAAGAGUGUAUUUUAUCUGAGUAAGCAAAAUGCAAUUAUGAGACUAGGCAAUCUCAAUACCUAGAAAAAAGCUUCAACGAGCAAGGACCUUUAAUGUGAAAUUAAGAAUGUAGAAAAGC